GAAGCUGGAGUUGCUAGUAAUCGCGAAUCAGCAUGUCGCGGUGAAUACGUUCCCGGGCCCUUGUACACACCGCCCGUCACACCAUGAGAGUUGGCAAUACCCAACGUACGUGAUCUAACCCGCAAGGGAGGAAGCGUCCUAAGGUAGGGUCAGCGAUUGGGGUGAAGUCGUAACAAGGUAGC
rnacentral:rRNA from 1 species